AAGAUAGCUGGGAGAAAAAGAGCGAUAAUUCCGAAAUAAAAACGAAAGCAAAAACAAACAAACACUUUUAGAUUGCGUUCAUUGGACUAAAAAUGAAGAUAAAAACAAGCAGUUCUAUGGUAUAGAGAUCGGUAUCGAUGACUCUAAUGUGUUGCCGGAUCAUAAUUCUGACAAAUCUUUUUUUGCUGAUGACAUUGAUGACUCCCAAAAAACAUCAUCACCUUUAUAAAAAAUCUGUUGGAUUUUGUAAUUGAUCGUCAUAAUGACCAACAAAUAUGUAAAAGUAAUCUUUCUCUACAAACUCGACCAACCUCUAACGAUCCUGCAUUAUGGAAAUCAAUAUCAGACGCUGAUCAAUCAACUAUAAUUUUGAUGGGACCUUUUUCAAAUCCCAGCAAUUUUCCAAGAGAUAAAAAAGAAUGCAAAUUCUCUACUUAAAUCUUUAUAGAAGAAUAAAGAUACAGAGAAAAAGUUAGAGAUUGGCUCGUUUAGAGUAAGGCUGUGGAAUCACUCUUUUGUUUCAAUUUUUUGCCUAAUUUAACCAGAAAUAUCGAAUAAUAUAUAUUGAAAUAAAAACAACUUGUGUUUAAUCCAGUUUGUUGUCUUGGAACGGAGGUUAGAACAUGGAAAUAGAAGAAAACUUUCAGAUUGCAUUAAAAGUCAUCAACAUAUUCACCAUAACUAUUAUCUUGAAUGGAAAACAGCUCACUUUAAAAGUCAAAAGUCCAUUGAUCAUCAAUUAAAAAAAUAAAUUGGAGAUGAAACUAAGCGAUGGAAAGUAAUUUUACAAUGCAUUUUUGAUGUCACAAUUUUUCUAGCUUCAAGAGAUCUAGCUUUUAGGGUUUGCGAUUAGGACCCAAUUAAAAGUUGUUCAAAAAUAGGAAUAGAAACUUCCUUGGAGCGCUCGAAUUAAUUGCUCCCCACAACCAAGCAUUACAAGAUCAUAAGCAUCUUAUUGCUAAGUACCAAGAAAAAAAACGCAAGCAAGCUCAUUACUUGACCUAGAAAUCACAGAUUUAUUGAUGAGUAUGGCGAAUUAGUGGUUCAAGAAGUUAAUCAAGAAAUCAAAAAAUCAAUAAAUUUCACCAUCAUCACGGCCAGCACACAAUUUGUCCUACAUAAGAAAUUUUGCUUGAUUUUGUUCUAUAUGUUUACUUUUAUGUAUAUAUUUUCAACUAUCUUUUUAACUAAUUUUUAUGUAUUGAUAGUUUUAAACCUUUAAGGUUUGAAAACAACUUCAUUUUAUAUAAAUUACAUUUUCAUCUCAU